AGACCCGAAACCCGGUGAUCUAGCCAUGGGCAGGUUGAAGGUUGGGUAACACUAACUGGAGGACCGAACCGACUAAUGUUGAAAAAUUAGCGGAUGACCUGUGGCUGGGGGUGAAAGGCCAAUCAAACCGGGAGAUAGCUGGUUCUCCCCGAAAGCUAUUUAGGUAGCGCCUCGUGAAUUCAUCUCCGGGGGUAGAGCACUGUUUCGGCUAGGGGGCCAUCCCGGCUUACCAACCCGAUGCAAACUGCGAAUACCGGAGAAUGUUAUCACGGGAGACACACGGCGGGUGCUAACGUCCGUCGUGAAGAGGGAAACAACCCAGACCGCCAGCUAAGGUCCCAAAGUCAUGGUUAAGUGGGAAACGAUGUGGGAAGGCCCAGACAGCCAGGAUGUUGGCUUAGAAGCAGCCAUCAUUUAAAGAAAGCGUAAUAGCUCACUGGUCGAGUCGGCCUGCGCGGAAGAUGUAACGGGGCUAAACCAUGCACCGAAGCUGCGGCAGCGACGCUUAUGCGUUGUUGGGUAGGGGAGCGUUCUGUAAGCCUGUGAAGGUGGCCUGUGAGGGUUGCUGGAGGUAUCAGAAGUGCGAAUGCUGACAUAAGUAACGAUAAAGCGGGUGAAAAGCCCGCUCGCCGGAAGACCAAGGGUUCCUGUCCAACGUUAAUCGGGGCAGGGUGAGUCGACCCCUAAGGCGAGGCCGAAAGGCGUAGUCGAUGGGAAACAGGUUAAUAUUCCUGUACUUGGUGUUACUGCGAAGGGGGGACGGAGAAGGCUAUGUUGGCCGGGCGACGGUUGUCCCGGUUUAAGCGUGUAGGUGUGUGUUCCAGGUAAAUCCGGUUCACUUUAACACUGAGGCGUGA
rnacentral:rRNA from 2 species